GGCGAACGCUGGCGGCGUGCUUAACACAUGCAAGUCGAACGGAAAGGCCCUGCUUUUGUGGGGUGCUCGAGUGGCGAACGGGUGAGUAACACGUGAGUAACCUGCCCUUGACUUUGGGAUAACUUCAGGAAACUGGGGCUAAUACCGGAUAGGAGCUCCUGCUGCAUGGUGGGGGUUGGAAAGUUUCGGCGGUUGGGGAUGGACUCGCGGCUUAUCAGCUUGUUGGUGGGGUAGUGGCUUACCAAGGCUUUGACGGGUAGCCGGCCUGAGAGGGUGACCGGCCACAUUGGGACUGAGAUACGGCCCAGACUCCUACGGGAGGCAGCAGUGGGGAAUAUUGCACAAUGGGCGGAAGCCUGAUGCAGCAACGCCGCGUGCGGGAUGACGGCCUCGGGUUGUAAACCGCUUUCGCCUGUGACGAAGCGUGAGUGACGGUAAUGGGUAAAGAAGCACCGGCUAACUACGUG
rnacentral:rRNA from 1 species